ACUGCAGUCGUGGGGCAGCAGGKUUGUAGCAAUACAGAUGCUGGCGACCGGCAAACGGGUGCGUAACACGUACGCAACCUUCCCGUUACUGKGGAAUAGCCCAGGGAAACUUGGAUUAAUACCMCAUAUUAUAUUGAUSAGGCAUCUSGUUAAUAUCAAAGCUUCGGCGGUAACGGAUGGGCGUGCGGYUGAUUAGGUAGUUGGCGGGGUAACGGCCCACCAAGCCUACGAUCARUAGCUGAUGUGAGAGCAUGAUCAGCCACACGGGCACUGAGACACGGGCCCGACUCCUACGGGAGGCAGCAGUAAGGAAUAUUGGKCAAUGGACGAAAGUCUGAMCCAGCCAUGCCGCGUGRAGGAUKAAGGUCCUCUGGAUUGUAAACUUCUUUUCUCUGGGGCGAAAAMAGCCUWUUCUWRGSYAYUUGACAGUACCAGAGGAAUAAGCACCGGCUAACUCCGUGCCAGCAGCCGCGGUAAUACGGAGGGUGCAAGCGUUAUCCGGAUUCACUGGGUUUAAAGGGUGCGUAGGYGGGYMKGUAAGUCAGUGGUGAAAUCCCCCGRGCUUAACUUGGGAACUGCCGUUGAUACUAUMKRUCUUGAAUAUCGUGGAGGUGAGCGGAAUAUGUCAUGUAGCGGUGAAAUGCUUAGAUAUGACAUAGAACACCAAUUGCGAAGGCAGCUUACUACACGAUCAUUGACACUGAGGCACGAAAGCGUG
rnacentral:rRNA from 1 species